CUCUAUCUAGGUGCUUGUUUUGCACAAUGCCAGCGGUACACCUGGAACUGGUGAACCUGGAACCGGUAAACCUGGAAGCGGAAAGUUCCAAAAGGCAUUGGAGAAAAAUGAGCCACCAAAAAAGUCGGUCUCUUUCGAAUUAAAAAAUGUACCAGCAGCACAAGGAAAUAAAUUAGGUUCAUCACAACCACCCAUCUCUUCUGAUGCAGUUAGUAAAAAACCUCAGGAAAUGAUUGGCAAGGGUCACGGCAAUAAAGUGGAUAAUAAACCUCCUCAGAUGGGAACCUUGGACCUAGUUGAACUGGCCGUUCCCUGGGCUUGAAUACUGAUUAGAGGAAAAAACCCAGCUGCACAAGCAAACGAUGACAAUUGGAUCAAUGAAUUGAAUGCUAUGAUUGUUCUAUCAGAUUACCUUUGUCCACGAUACAUUUUUCUCUAAAUAAACCAUUG